AAUCUACUCCUUCCGUUCCGAAUUACUCGUUGCAAAAAUGAAUGUAUCUAGAUGUAUUUUAGUUUUAGAUACAUCUAUUUUCUGUGACGAGUAAUUUGGAACGGAGGAGGAAGUAC
rnacentral:pre_miRNA from 1 species